UACGUAGGGUCCGAGCGUUGUCCGGAAUUAUUGGGCGUAAAGAGCUCGUAGGCGGUUUGUCGCGUCUGCUGUGAAAUCCCGAGGCUCAACCUCGGGCCUGCAGUGGGUACGGGCAGACUGGAGUGCGGUAGGGGAGAAUGGAAUUCCUGGUGUAGCGGUGAAAUGCGCAGAUAUCAGGAGGAACACCGAUGGCGAAGGCAGGUCUCUGGGCCGAUACUGACGCUGAGGAGCGAAAGCGUGGGGAGCGAACAGG
rnacentral:rRNA from 1 species